AAGAUAUUCUAGUAGCAACAGGCCGGCUGCUGAUCCUGUACCUUUGAGGGCACUGGGAGGCAGACACACACUAAACUGUUUCCUGAAGGCUUUUGCUGAGAAUCUGAGAUGUGAUUUAAAAAUCGUGGUGCCUGGGAUAACCAAGGCUGGUCCUUCAAACUCUAGAAUGUCUGUGUCUGUGUCAGCUAUCCUUGACUUUUCCUCUACUUUUUCAAUAAAAUUGUGCUUUGCAUGUGUUCCUGUGGAGCUAGACCAUCAGUGAGAGAGAGAAUGGAGGAAUGUUUAAACAUCAGGAAGGAGUGAACACA